AUUGAACGCUGGCAGCAGGCCUAACACAUGCAAGUCGAGCGGAUGAAGGGAGCUUGCUCCUGGAUUCAGCGGCGGACGGGUGAGUAAUGCCUAGGAAUCUGCCUGGUAGUGGGGGAUAACGUCCGGAAACGGGCGCUAAUACCGCAUACGUCCUGAGGGAGAAAGUGGGGGAUCUUCGGACCUUACGCUAUCAGAUGAGCCUAGGUCGGAUUAGCUAGUUGGUGGGGUAAAGGCCUACCAAGGCGACGAUCCGUAACUGGUCUGAGAGGAUGAUCAGUCACACUGGAACUGAGACACGGUCCAGACUCCUACGGGAGGCAGCAGUGGGGAAUAUUGGACAAUGGGCGAAAGCCUGAUCCAGCCAUGCCGCGUGUGUGAAGAAGGUCUUCGGAUUGUAAAGCACUUUAAGUUGGGAGGAAGGGCAGUAAGUUAAUACCUUGCUGUUUUGACGUUACCAACAGAAUAAGCACCGGCUAACUUCGUG
rnacentral:rRNA from 1 species